UGAUAAUAUUAGUACAGUUCAGAUAACCAACGGGUCAAAUUAUACUUGUGAGAUAUAUUAUUAUGAUACACAAAUAAUAGACCAAGAUGAAGGUAAUAUAACUGAGCCACUAUUUUGUAAAUCGAUAUCCAAAUUUUAUAUUUGUAUGAAUUGUACAUUUGCCCAAUGGCUUCAUAAUAAACUUUUAGGAAUAAUUAAUAAUUUAUUGAGUUUAAACCCAC